CCCUCUUAAGAUGAAUCUCAUCCUAGAGAUUCGGAAGACAGUGAUCAAAUAGAUAUGGAUACUCUGCCUUUGGAUGUUGUUCACUUGCUUAAGUUGUUCCAUCCUCUUGUAGAGAUUUUUGGCUUUACGUUGCACCCUCUAGUAAUCUAUCUCCAAGUGAUAGCACUUUUUGAAGUCAUAACCUUGUUCAAUACCAAACCAAUGAUGAUGUCAACAACUUAGAAUCAACUUAGUGAAGAUUUUCCUUAGGUUCUUAUGAUCCACCUUGAUGACAUUUUUUUAUAUUUUUUUAUGUCCAAGAAGAUAGUACUUCCAUGCUCCACAUCACGUCUCAGGUACAUGCUAAGUAUGGUGAAAAUUGAUCUCACAACUAAGGGUGGCUCGAACCAA
rnacentral:lncRNA from 1 species